rnacentral:rRNA from 1 species
AGAAGCAGCCAUCAUUUAAAGAAAGCGUAAUAGCUCACUGGUCGAGUCGGCCUGCGCGGAAGAUGUAACGGGGCUAAACCAUGCACCGAAGCUGCGGCAGCGACGCUUAGGCGUUGUUGGGUAGGGGAGCGUUCUGUAAGCCGUUGAAGGUGGCCUGUGAGGGUUGCUGGAGGUAUCAGAAGUGCGAAUGCUGACAUAAGUAACGAUAAAGCGGGUGAAAAGCCCGCUCGCCGGAAGACCAAGGGUUCCUGUCCAACGUUAAUCGGGGCAGGGUGAGUCGACCCCUAAGGCGAGGCUGAAAAGCGUAGUCGAUGGGAAACAGGUUAAUAUUCCUGUACUUGGUGUUACUGCGAAGG